UUAGAUACCCUUGUAGUCCACACAGUAAACGAUGAAUACUCGCUGUUGGCGAUACAAUGUCAGCGGCCAAGCGAAAGCAUUAAGUAUUCCACCUGGGGAGUACGCCGGCAACGGUGAAACUCAAAGGAAUUGACGGGGGCCCGCACAAGCGGAGGAACAUGUGGUUUAAUUCGAUGAUACGCGAGGAACCUUACCCGGGCUUAAAUUGCAACUGACGGACUUGGAAACAGGUCUUUCUUCGGACAGUUGUGAAGGUGCUGCAUGGUUGUCGUCAGCUCGUGCCGUGAGGUGUCGGCUUAAGUGCCAUAACGAGCGCAACCCUUACCGACAGUUACCAUCAGGUAACGCUGGGGACUCUGUCGGGACUGCCGUCGUAAGAUGUGAGGAAGGUGGGGAUGACGUCAAAUCAGCACGGCCCUUACGUCCGGGGCUACACACGUGUUACAAUGGGGGGUACAGAAGGCAGCUACACGGCGACGUGAUGCUAAUCCCAAAAGCCUCUCUCAGUUCGGAUUGGAGUCUGCAACCCGACUCCAUGAAGCUGGAUUCGCUAGUAAUCGCGCAUCAGCCACGGCGCGGUGAAUACGUUCCCGGGCCUUGUCACACCGCCCGUCAAGCCAUGAAAGCCGGGGGUACCUGAAGUGCGUAACCGCCAAGACCGCCCUAGGGUAAAACUGGUGAUUUGGGGCUAANUCGUAACAAGGUAAGC
rnacentral:rRNA from 1 species